rnacentral:rRNA from 1 species
ACGCUGGCGGCGUGCCUAACACAUGCAAGUCGAGCGAGAAAUAAAGGAAUGAAGCUUCGGUAGAUUUUCUUUAUGGAAAGCGGCGGACGGGUGAGUAACGCGUAGGCAACCUGCCCUGUACAGGGGGAUAGCCACCCGAAAAGGUGAUUAAUACCCCAUAACGCAAGAGAUACACAUGUAUCACUUGUCAAAGAUUUAUCGGUAUAGGAUGGGCCUGCGUCUGAUUAGCUAGUUGGUAGGGUAACGGCUUACCAAGGCAACGAUCAGUAGCCGACCUGAGAGGGUGAUCGGCCACAUUGGAACUGAGACACGGUCCAAACUCCUACGGGAGGCAGCAGUGGGGAAUAUUGCACAAUGGGCGCAAGCCUGAUGCAGCAACGCCGCGUGAAGGAUGAAGGCCUUCGGGUUGUAAACUUCUGUCCUAGGGGAAGAAACAAAUGACAUUACCCUUGGAGGAAGCCCCGGCUAACUACGUGCCAGCAGCCGCGGUAAUACGUAGGGGGCGAGCGUUAUCCGGAAUUAUUGGGCGUAAAGAGUGCGUAGGUGGCACCUUAAGCGCAGGGUUUAAGGCAAUGGCUCAACCAUUGUUCGCCUUGCGAACUGGGGUGCUUGAGUGCAGGAGGGGAAAGUGGAAUUCCUAGUGUAGCGGUGAAAUGCGUAGAUAUUAGGAGGAACACCAGUGGCGAAGGCGACUUUCUGGACUGUUACUGACACUGAGGCACGAAAGCGUGGGGAGCAAACAGGAUUAGAUACCCUGGUAGUCCACGCCGUAAACGAUGAGCACUAGGUGUCGGGGUCGCAAGACUUCGGUGCCGCAGUUAACGCAUUAAGUGCUCCGCCUGGGGAGUACGCACGCAAGUGUAAAACUCAAAGGAAUUGACGGGGACCCGCACAAGCAGCGGAGCAUGUG